AAAAAUAAUAAAAUUCCGGGGCGGAAGGGAAAGGCGGCAGAGUUGUAGCUGGCCCCUCCAGGCAUGUGCACGCUCUCUUCCGGACUUUCGUCGUAUGGGCGCGGGGCGACCCGCGUCUUCAUAUACCUCUUCGUGUAGAAAGUCUUUGAAUGUCAAAAUCUCCACCGAGUCUCGACUUUUCUGAGACACGAUUCUUUUUGACAAAAGUUAUAAUAACUUUUUCCACCGGAUCUCUUGUGUCUCUCAUCUCUGAAAAACGCGCCGAAACGCGAUAUGUGAAGUGAAUUGCGCAUAUCCAGUGAAUCACCGAAUCUCUUUGAGCGCCUUGUGCUCUCCUCUGUGCCCAGAAGAAUGCGUGUGUGAGAGUGACAAAAAUUCACCCCCCCUCGAUAUGUGCUUAGAGAGCGCUCGGGUAUGGUAGACUGUGCCGAGAAACCUAUACUCUCACGAGACGCGCUCCCUGAGAUGAGUCUCCGCGCGCGCGACCCUUCCUUUUAUGAGACGGGUUUGGGUGAGAUAAGCGCCCGCGCCCAAAGCGCGACAGAAACUCCCCGCCCUCACACGUCGCACCUUUCUCGUCUUUUUAUAGACACGUGAGAUCUCAUCUCGUAUACUAUACGCUGUGAUAUACAUAUCUCUAGCGAGAGAAGAGACUCACACGAGAUUCUCAUAUCUGUGAGAGUGCCGGAAGUCUCAUUUGAUCUCGCGCUCUCUCGCCGUCUCAAUGUGAAUCUAGAGACGUCUCUCCGCUCGGCCGUACAAGAUCUCUCGAGAAUUAAUCCAAAU
rnacentral:misc_RNA from 1 species